rnacentral:rRNA from 1 species
UACGGGGGGGGCAAGCGUUAUUCGGAAUUACUGGGCGUAAAGGGCUCGUAGGCGGCCAACUAAGUCCGACGUGAAAUCCCAAGGCUUAACCUUGGAACUGCGUCGGAUACUGGAUGGCUUGAAUUCGGGAGAGGGAUGCAGAAUUCCAGGUGUAGCGGUGAAAUGCGUAGAUAUCUGGAGGAAUACCGGUGGCGAAGGCGGCAUCCUGGACCGACAUUGACGCUGAUGAGCGAAAGCUAGGGGAGCAAACGGG